AGAUGGGCCUUACGUGAGUGCCCAGGACCCUUCCUCGAACCCCAUCUCUGCCAGGGACAGCACACCACCUACACCAUCCCACCAACUGCCCCCUGGGCUUCAGCUGUGAACUCAGAUUCCUCUGAGGAACCUGCUUCCAGUCCUGCUGCGGGGCAGUGAGAAGUGGGGAAAAGCCUGGCAGCUCAACAACCUGAGGCCCAAGAUGGUGAUCGCUGCACUGCCGCGAACUGCUCCCACUGCCGGGCAAUGAGGAGAAACGGCUGUCGCCUUCCACAGGGAGCCUGCCUUGAUCUCUGUGAUCAGGAAUGUGGCUGAGCAAAUGGAGCUUGUACCUCCAGGAUGGACGUGCCUCCCAGAUGCUAGUUGCUAGAAGAGUCCUGGCAGUGGAGGGAAAGUUGGCUCUGCACUGAAGGCUCCACAUAAAGGGCUCAAAACGUCUGGUUCAGUGGUUAAAAGCUGUUCACAGGGAUGACUGGAACCCACUAAGCAUUCUUUCAUCUGUAGUGAACAUUUCACCAAAAAAAGCUCUUGGAAAGGCUGGAGGGUCAGUACUACGUGCUCAA